CAGAGCCGCGGUAAUACAGAGGGUGCGAGCGUUAAUCGGAUUUACUGGGCGUAAAGCGUGCGUAGGCGGCUUUUUAAGUCGGAUGUGAAAUCCCUGAGCUUAACUUAGGAAUUGCAUUCGAUACUGGGAAGCUAGAGUAUGGGAGAGGAUGGUAGAAUUCCAGGUGUAGCGGUGAAAUGCGUAGAGAUCUGGAGGAAUACCGAUGGCGAAGGCAGCCAUCUGGCCUAAUACUGACGCUGAGGUACGAAAGCAUGGGGAGCAAACAGGAUUAGAUACCCGCGUAGUCCCUGUCUCUUAUACC
rnacentral:rRNA from 1 species